rnacentral:rRNA from 1 species
CCUACGGGUGGCAGCAGUAAGGAAUAUUGGUCAAUGGAGGAAACUCUGAACCAGCCAUCCCGCGUGAAGGAUGAAGGGGCUCUGCCUUGUAAACUUCUUUUGUCUGGGGCGAAAAAGCUCGAUUUAUCGAGAACUGACGGUACCAGAAGAAUAAGCACCGGCUAACUCCGUGCCAGCAGCCGCGGUAAUACGGAGGGUGCAAGCGUUAUCCGGAAUCACUGGGUGCAAAGGGGGCGUAGGCGGCUAGUGGUGAACGGCUGUGGCUUAACCAUGGAAUUGCCAUUGAUACUGCAGAGCUUGAAUGAGGUUGAGGUUGGCGGAAUGUGACAUGUAGCGGUGAACUGCUUAGAUAUGUCAUGGAACACCGAUUGCGAAGGCAGCUGACUGGACCUAUAUUGACGCUGAGGCACGAAAGCGUGGGGAGCGAACCGGAUUCGAUACCCCUGUAGU